UUCCGGUUGAUCCUGCCGGACCUGACUGCUAUCGGAUUGAUACUAAGCCAUGCGAGUCAUUGUAGCAAUACAAGGCAGACGGCUCAGUAACGCGUAGUCAACCUACCCUAUGGACGGGAAUAACCUCGGGAAACUGAGAAUAAUGCCCGAUAGAACACUAUACCUGGAAUGGUUUGUGUUCCAAAUGAUUUAUCGCCGUAGGAUGGGACUGCGGCCUAUCAGUUUGUUGGUGAGGUAAUGGCCCACCAAGACUAUUACAGGUACGGGCUCUGAGAGGAGUGGCCCGGAGAUGGGUACUGAGACACGGACCCAGGCCCUAUGGGGCGCAGCAGGCGAGAAAACUUUGCAAUGUGCGAAAGCACGACAAGGUUAAUCCGAGUGGUUUCUGCUAAAGGAACCUUUUGACAGUCCUAGAAACACUGUUGAAUAAGGGGUGGGCAAGUUCUGGUGUCAGCCGCCGCGGUAAAACCAGCACCUCAAGUGGUCAGGAUGAUUAUUGGGCCUAAAGCAUCCGUAGCCGGCUCUGUUAGUUUUCGGUUAAAUCUAUAUGCUCAACAUAUAGGCUGCCGGGAAUACUACAAAGCUAGGGAGUGGGAGAGGUAGACGGUACUCCGUAGGAAGGGGUAAAAUCCUUUGAUCUAUGGAUGACCACCAGUGGCGAAGGCGGUCUACCAGAACACGUUCGACGGUGAGGGAUGAAAGCUGGGGGAGCAAACCGGAUUAGAUACCCGGGUAGUCCCAGCUGUAAACUAUGCAAACUCAGUGAUGCAUUGGCUUGUGGCCAGUGCAGUGCCGCAGAGAAGUCGUUAAGUUUGUCGCCUGGGAAAGUACGUACGCAAGUAUGAAACUUAAAGGAAUUGGCGGGGGAGCACCACAAGGGGUGAAGCCUUGCGGUUCAAUUGGAGUCAACGCCGGA
rnacentral:rRNA from 1 species